GGCUCUAAGAAUGUGGACGAGUCACAGGUGGAGCAUGGGUGGGAGGAAGCCAGUGUGCCUGGCAAGGGAAAUGGCACACAAAGCUCUCCCUAAAGGAAAUGCAGCCAGGAAAAGAAGCUGCCUCCGGGACCUGUAGAUUCGAAGACACUCAUGGCUGCAGUGACAGGCUCUGUCCCAUUAUGGGCAGAGAAGCCAAACCACUGGUGAGGCCGGGCAACCAUGCUGAUUAGAAUCGAGGCUGCUAAGGGGUGAUGCUCUGUCUGCAGCGCCACUCUGGAGUCUGCCGUUAAGAGUGCAAGUUCUACCUAGCACUCACCGAGAUGCCAGUGGUGACAACCACCCUGAAAAACAAGGACAGACACUCUGAGCUUCAUGUGUACUUUUUUGAUCUGAUACCCACAGGGCCAGAGAAGGUCUUUUCCUAUGGGCACGCCAAUGAAGCCAUUAUUAACAAUCCGGGCUGAAGACAUGGAAAUUCAGGAAGCUGCCAAACAGGCAGGUGGAGACACAGCAGGCUGGUCCACCCCGCAAAGGGGUUCUGGGAUGGAGAUGUGCGUUACGAUUCUUUCUGCAACAGUCCUGUGGAGCUCGACUUCCGAGUCCUCGGAAAAAGAAAGGAAUGGAUCUGCCCAAGCUGUGCUCUGGCACUGCCAUUCCAAUGCGUCAAAGACAAUCUUGUCUGGGAUAAAGAUGGAGCCAAGAUUAGGCUGUGCCCUGUUGACUUCCCAGGCUCGGUCCAGGAGUGGCUCUCUCCAUUCUCACCCACCAACUUUCAGCAAAUGAUGAGCACAGCAAGCACGUACAUUGUUCUGGAUCAAGGGCAUGGAGGAGUCCGCAACCUCAGAUUGAAGCUGUACAUUCAGCAUGGGCAGUGAAG